rnacentral:lncRNA from 1 species
GUGGGAUUUCAUGACUGCCCCUGGCUUGCAAAUGCUGUUUCCCUGCCGACUGUGGUCAUCCCCUCUCCACUCCACCGUUGUUUCUUGGGUGUACAGGGUAGGAGGGCUAAUAACUUGUCUUUCUAGGUCAAUGUAUUGCAGACCAAGAGAAGCUAUCUGGACCCAGAAAGGACUCUCACAAUGGCAUGACAUGAGGACAGACUUGGAGCUUAAUGCAGUAACUGAAGAGAACCGCACAGCAUAUUCGCUGGAGAAGAGUGGCGGCCCACAGAGCCAGGCGUGGAAGAGUGUGAAAGGGCUGUCAGUGCGCUGGGGAUGCAAAGGAUCCACUUGAACGCCUGGAGCUCACUGGAGUGCCCCAUCCAAGUCGAUAUCAGGAACCUGAGGGGUCUGUGCUAGAGGACUAGAGCCUGCACUGGAAGCCAGGAGAGGACAUCCAAGGUGAAGGGGAAGGCAGGCGCUCUCCCGAAAAAACAGAGCCUCCUGGAAGAGUGUACAGCACCAAGGCGACCUUCAUCCGUCUCUACAGCGCUCCUCUCCUGCACCCCCUGGCACUUGGCACUGCAAAUGCAUCACCUCAAUCCGAACAGACUGUGUUCUUUGUUUCUCAACUCAGUGAAGCUGGGCUCCUCUCAC